AAGGUUGAAACAUUAUUGUUGAAAUAUUAAUAUAUAUAUAUAUAAUUAUUAUUAUUGUUUUAUUUUUUUUUUUACUGUUUUGGUAUUUCAUUUUUUACAUUAUGGAUUUUUUUUUUUAACUUAAUAAUUUGUAACUUAAUAAUUACAGUGAACUGAAUUAUUGAAUUGAUCACGUAGACACGCCCACCUGCGCGCGCCUGUCUGUCACACAAAAUCCAGAAAAUCGAAUCUCUUCAGACUUCGCGCCUUUUUCUUGUGGAUUUUGCGAGAUAACAGUCACAGAAGAGCUAGCGCCAGCGAAAAUGUAAUUUUAAUCGGAAAACACACACAUGAAUUACAAUAGUUUGCGCUUGUUGAGAGAGUAAUCGGGUCUGUUUCCACAUGAUGGCAAAUCCACAGUGAAGUCUUGGUCAGAGACGUGAGACGCUUCUCGUCCCUGUAUGGUGCAACGCUGUAUUGGAGUGAUUGAUAAGAACACAACAGCACGAAGAUUGCAGCUUCUUUGCUCUGAAAAUAAGAACAUAUCAGAGUCGUUAUGGCAAGGGCCUCACCGGGCUCUUUGAGAAAUCAGUUUAUGCGUGAGUUUCAUGCAGAGCUCCUGCACAUCAGCCUUCCUGCAACGUUUAGAUCCAUCUCUAACCAGAUAAUCAUGAUCUGUUUGCUGAAUUGAGUUAUUUUAGUCACUGAAGCUGCAUGGACAGACGCUUUCACUCACACAUUUUACACGGAUGGAUGGAAAGCUUCACGGCUCUUGGCCCUCAGCUUGUUGACCUGGGACUCGGCGAUGUCAGCGCGCUCCUGAGCCUCCUCCAGCUCAUGCUGCACCUUCCUGUACCUGGACAGAACAUGCUGAUGUAUGCUGUCCUUCCAUACAGCCAUACUACUGGACUACUGCAGUGCUCUCUUGGCAAGCCUUCCAGCAUGCACUGUCAAACCUCUGCAACUGAUCCAGAAUGAAGCAGCAAGAGUGUUCUUUAACAAGCAGAAGAGACAUAAACUUGCACUGGUUGCCAACUGACGCUCACAGCAGAUUCAAGGUUUCAAAUAGGAUACAGUACUGCAGUCAAGAGAUGCUGGUGAUUCAAGAAGACUUGAUUCAACAAGAUCAUCUGAAACUGUGUUCGACUGCCAAGCAGAAACCUGGAUAUCCCUUCACAUAAUCCGCGCACCGGACGGACCCUUUGCUCCAGCUCUCUCGUCAGAAGGCCUCAGGAUGCUGGGAGCUGAACGCCACGCUGGCUGACAUGUUUGGGAAGACCGAGGACGAGGUGACAAAUCAUAGGCCAGCGCAGGUGGAUGGGUCCGUGUGGGCCACCGUUCUGGUUCUGAUCUGGUUGUAUGCAUGUAGAUCAGUUUGUGACCAUGAAGGCGGGUCAUGGAUCCGCUCUGAGAAACCGGAUGGCCUGUCUUAGUGUGUGUGAGAGAUGGGAACAUCCUGUUGGGAGGUCAUGUGACUGAAGACGCGCUGGGAAUCUGAAGAAUGAAGAAUCUUGUGCUGUCAGAAGACCAAAUUACUCUCACUCUAUCAUAAACAUGCGUGUUUUUUUUCUAGUGUACAAUAUAAUUUUUUUUUUUUAAACUGACAGAUUUAUUUCAUUUUGUAUCAGUGGUAGAGGGACUUUUUUCAGUAUAUGUAAGCUUUAGGACCUGCCCUAAUUCAUGUUAUUGCUCUAAAUAUAUAAUCUUUGUGUUCUGAA